GACAGAGGUGCCGAGCGUUAGGCGGAAUCACUGGGCUUAAAGCGUGUGUAGGCGGGGCGUUAAGUGCUUUGUGAAAUCCCACGGCUCACCCGUGGAACUGCUUGGCAUACUGGCGCUCUUGAGCCACUUAGGGGCAACUGGAACAAACGGUGGAGCGGUGAAAUGCGUAGAUAUCAUUUGGAACGCCAAUGGUGAAAACAGGUAGCUGGGGCUGUGCUGACGCUGAGACACGAAAGCCAGGGGAGCAAACGGG
rnacentral:rRNA from 1 species